GCCUUUUUACCAUUUAUCUGUCAAAUCUUGAGGGUUUGAGCAUUUCUGGAAAGACCUAUGUGUUCUUGAAAUGGUGCUGUAUUAAAAGGUACAAUUUUUAUUUGAAUAUUAUUAAAAUUCUUGGUGUAAUUUGAAUCUCUACCUUUCACUUUGACGUGUUUAGUUUCUUUACAAUAUUAGGACCUUCAAAUUUGUGCUUGGCAGCAAAUAAUUAAAAUGAAUUUAUAAAUACUGUGCAGAUUAGUGUAUAGUUAAAAAAUAAUUAAUAUUCAAUAAGCCAAUAAUCUUUAAUAAUUCAUAUUCAAUGUAUAACUUUAGCCUUCUGGUUUAGGCUAAAAUUUUAUAAAAUUUUCAAUUUUAACAGGAUUCUCAAUUAUUUAAUUAAUGCUUGCUGGAUGAUGAAAUUCUUAGUGUGGUUAGAUAUUCUUGAUUAUGAAGAUUAGUCAUUGGUGUAUUGUAUUGAACUUGUCCGGAUGUGGAAUCAAGAUGGAAGCUUUAAUUGAAGUUUGUGGUUGGAUUUUGAAGUUUUCUCUUUGCUAAAUUGCUUCUUAAUUUAACACGUGAAACCAGCAUUCCUCUUUCAUUAUUGUUUGUGCUUUCAAGUUUCAGUAUGCAAGUGAGCUUUGAUGAUUAGGCUUUCACAUUUCAUCACCAUUCUUGACAUUCUUUACUUUAAAAAGUUUUGCAUCCUCUGAAUUUGUUGGUAAUUUGACAGAGAAGAAAUAUUUCCACCGUUUAUUGCUCCAUUUUUCCAGUAACUUCUUUUUUUAACACUUCAUAAUGAAAAAAGAAGGUUUAUUUUGUUAAUCAUUAAGGGGAUUGCUUUUAGGUUUUCUUUUUCCUCGUGAAAUUGCUUUUGAGUUUUUUGCUGGUUCCUAUAUUAUUUUAUUGUCUCAAAUAGAGGCCAAGUGUCCAUGAAUUCAUCUUUGCUCUUAUUAUUUUUUGUAUUACAUUUUGUUUGCAUUUUUAUUGUUGGGUUUGUUUUUUACGUUUAUAUAUUUAGCUCCCAAAAAAUCUUUAAAAAAAUAAAAAUGAAAUAAAAAGGUUAAUUCAUACUAAUUUUGAGAGCCCAACCUUUAGAGUUGAUUCAGGUGUGAAAAUCUCAAGUCUGGUCUUGAUCCUGAAGCAAUUCGGUUCAAGAAGUACUGGAAUCAGAAUUAAAAAAAUAAGGCGAAGACCUGGAAUUGGAGGUCUACAGAACGCCACUGUAGCUAGAGUUUUUUCACCAUUUUAUGCUUCAUUAAUUAGUAAGCAUUACACACACACAUACUUUGUUUGUGUGAUUCUACAUAUGUAUUUGUUUGAAUAUAUGUUUGUAUCUCGAGUGGAUGUAUUUGAAAUUUGAUUUUGUGAUGAAUAUCGGUUGCUGGGAGAAAAUGUGGCAAAGUUGCAAACUGAUGUCAUGAAAGAGCGGCUUUCAACUUUUCGCUCUCAGUUGGAAGACUUUGCCUGCAAGCAAAAGGUCCCUCUUUUUAGCUAGAUUAAGUUUUCCUAUAUUUUUGUUAAGUAUCUACUUAAUUAUUUAAUUCCCUACUUUUAUAUUGGUCAUUGAUGGAUCAUUUCCUGCUAAUUCAUAUUGAUACGAAAACAUUUAUUUAAUUAAGGAGAAAAGGAAUUUAGGGUUUCCGAACUGCUGGAGUGUUCAAAUUAUGCUCACAGAAGGGUAGAAGAUUAUGAAAAAGAAGAUAGAAAAUAAAUUUUACUUGUCAUUGUUUAUGCAGAAUGAUAUAAGCAAGAAUCCGGCAUUCAGGGCACAGUUCCAUGAGGUGUGCUAAAGUAGGUGUGGACCCUCUGGCCUUGAAUAAAGGUUUUUGAGCUGAGUUAUUAGGGAUCGGUGACUUCUACUACGAACUUGGUUGGUAUCUAUCUGCUUCUUGGCUUUCGUUUCUUAAUUUUCGCUUGUGUCUUUAUUGUCAUCACUGUAAAGCGGGGAGUUUUGAUAUCAACAAUUACCAUGAA
rnacentral:lncRNA from 1 species